AUUGAACGCUGGCGGCGGGCCUAACACAUACAAGUCGAGCGGUAGAGAGAAGCUUGCUUCUCUUGAGAGCGGCGGACGGGUGAGUAAUGCCUAGGAAUCUGCCUGGUAGUGGGGGAUAACGUUCGGAAACGGACGCUAAUACCGCAUACGUCCUACGGGAGAAAGCAGGGGACCUUCGGGCCUUGCGCUAUCAGAUGAGCCUAGGUCGGAUUAGCUAGUUGGUGAGGUAAUGGCUCACCAAGGCGACGAUCCGUAACUGGUCUGAGAGGAUGAUCAGUCACACUGGAACUGAGACACGGUCCAGACUCCUACGGGAGGCAGCAGUGGGGAAUAUUGGACAAUGGGCGAAAGCCUGAUCCAGCCAUGCCGCGUGUGUGAAGAAGGUCUUCGGAUUGUAAAGCACUUUAAGUUGGGAGGAAGGGUUGUAGAUUAAUACUCUGCAAUUUUGACGUUACCGACAGAAUAAGCACCGGCUAACUCUGUGCCAGCCGCCGCGGUAA
rnacentral:rRNA from 1 species